rnacentral:rRNA from 3 species
UUUCCGUAGGUGAACCUGCGGAAGGAUCAUUGCCGCC